CUAUUACGUGGGCUGGACUCAUGGUGCAGUGCACCCAACAAUUUUUCCUCUAUUCAAAACUAAGAGCUCAAUUCUCAAACUAGAGUCGCUGUUAGCUAUCAUGUUUCAAUCUCCAAACCCAACAUCUCUCUCAGAGCAUAAAGAAGUUACUGAGCACUCCCAUAUUGGACGAUGACUGGGAGAAGUGCGUUAUUAGAGAACUGAUGGCUGCCCGAAGAAUCUAAAGCUCGUGCUUCAAGAUCUCUUCAGGAGUUCGAAUUAUCCAUCGGUGAGUUACAGAAAGCUCCCAUGGACCGCGUUGGCUGGGUGAAGCUCUAUGCUAAAGAAACGAAGGAUGCCUCCAAUAAAGAUGAUGCUAUAGCUCGUGGUUCAAGAGUGUUUGAUGCUUUCGAGUCAUCCAUCCUUGCAAUUGCAAACACUGGGAUUAACCAGAUGGCGGAACAAGGAAAAACACUCUUACAGGAACUGCAGAGUGUAAAGAACUGAAAUUGGAGUUGCAACAGCUGAAGCAACUGGUGACUCAGAAGAGUCAGAACCAAAUUGGGCGGAAGACAUUAAAGCAAAUUGUAGAACUUCUUCAGGCAGCGUAUGUACGUGAGCAACAACUGGCAUCGCAUUUAGAGGCGAGGACUAAUGAAUUGGACCAGCAACUACAACAGAUUCAGCGCAGCAACUCCAACCAAGCGCAGCGCUUCCAUGCACCCUGAUAUCUUCUAUUGAUUCUUGGAUACGUUAGUUUGGCCUAAUGGUUGGAUAAUUAGUAUGUUAGUUCUUUCAACUGCUGUGAAAAAGGUUAUGCUGUUUAUCUGUAGGUACUACAAAUGGUGUUUCCCCUCUUAUAUUCAAACGGUAGGUAGUGAUGAAAGACCCAUUUUAGAUUUAAUUUGAAUACACCUUUAUGGAUUACUUCUCUUUACUGCUUGUGUCCUCAGAUUUCAAUAUUGAAUCUCUUUUUUUAGUAAGUAAUUUCAAUAUUGAAAUUGAUACACAUCAUAGAUGUUUGUAGGCUUGAGUUUAGAGAUCAAAUCAAGUGUAAUUGUAGGCUGGAGGCUAUGUUCCAAUGAGAGGGGUGUGCUAAUGUCAGCACCGACAAGGUCACCAGAAUCCGAAGAACAAACCAUCUGACUUGCCGGAACCUCCUGAUAUUUGCAGUGAUUUUCCCAAUAUUUUUGGAGCCAUCUGCAAUGUCUUUUUCAUUUUCCAUUGUUUUCUUUUACCCUUGGCACCAAUUCAACCCUAGAACUCACUAAAAAGCAUUGGAGGCUGUGUUCAAUGAUAGAGAUCCAUGUACCUGACAAGGUGAGCUACUAUAUGGAGGUUAAGGGUGGCGUAGUGCAAGGAACCCGGUGUUGUGAGGCAGGUAGGUGCAUGAUUGAGAAAACUGUAGUAUGUAAAUGCCUUGUUUGAUGUAUUGUAUUUAGCUCAGAUUCAGGAUGGGAUAGAAGACAAAGUGUGUUAGACACUUAGAAGUCAUGACAGGAGUUAUCUAUGGAACUAUAUAGAGGAAUCGAAAGGGAAAAAUACACAAUAAGCUCAAAACAUCAUUCAGGAUAAGAAAUCACUUACUUUUUGUUGAAGUACUCUGAAAAUGUCAUAUUUUGAUGAGGCAUUGUCAGUGUUUCCACCAAAAGGACUCUCAGCAGAGAUAUUAUUCACAACCUCAACAACAAAGUAGAUUUUUCCAGUGUGAA